rnacentral:lncRNA from 1 species
AGUUCUAUCAAAGCAAGUUUUAAAACAAAUGAUUAUGGUAAACUGAGACUUUAUCUAACUACGAAGAUAUAGAUAAGAAUUUUAAACUUACUUAAGAUCUGGUUGGAUUGGUCCGUAGAUUUCAGAAAGUGAAAAUAAGAACUCGAAAGUGUGUGAUCACUAUCCUAAAAUAAAUUUCCAUCUCUCAUGUCGGUGAUUAUCAAAAUUUUACCCCA